AUGGAUAUCUCACUACCCCUCCUCCUCCUAGCCGGCAUCCUCAUCCCCGUCAUCUCGUACCUGCUGGUGACGAACCGCAGCACUGAGGAAGGGCGGCUGAAGCUGCCGCCGGGCCCGAAGCGGGUGCCGGUGCUCGGCAACCUGCACCAACUGGGCCCUCUACCGCAUCGCAACCUGCGCGACCUGGCCGGGCGGCACGGCCCCGUCAUGCUACUCCGCCUCGGCGCGAUGACGAUGGUGGUGGUCUCGUCCGCGGCUGCGGCGCGCGACGUCAUGAAGGCCCAUGACGCCGACUGUUGCAGCCGCCCCGCGUCGCCGGGACCCGCGCGGCUCUCCUACGGGCGCAAGAGCGUCUCCUUCUCGCCAUACGGCGCCUACUGGCGCGACAUGCGCGGACUCUUCGCCGCGGAGCUCCUCGGCGCGCGCGGUGUCGAAGCCUCCUGGGCCGCACGGCGGGAGCAGGUGGACAGGCUCAUGGCCGCCCUGGGCGACGCUGCGGGGCCGGUGUCGUUGGACGAGCACGUGUUCCGUGUCGCCGAUGGCGUGAUCGCCACGGUGGCGUACGGGAGUGUGUACGGCGCGGAGGCGUUCGCGGGCAAGUACGAGCGGUUCCAGCACGUGCUACAGGAGGCCGUGGACAUGUCGGCCAGCUUCUCCGCCGAGGACUUCUUCCCCAACACCGCCGGCCGCUUCCUCGACCGGCUCGCCGGCAUCAUCGCGCGCCGGGAGAGGAUCUUCAGAGACCUCGACGGCUUCUUCGAGGAAGUGCUGGAGCAGCAUCGAGACCCCACGCGCCCCAGGCCGGAGAGCGGCGGCGGCGACCUGGUGGAUGCCCUCGUCAGAAUCUGCGAGGAGCACGGCUUCACGAGGGACCACGUCAAGGCUGUCCUCCUGGACGCGUUCAUCGGCGGCAUCGACACGAGCUCUGUGACGAUCCUGUGGGCGAUGUCGGAGCUGAUCCGGAAGCCGCAGGUGCUGAAGAAAGCGCAGGAGGAGAUCAGGGCCGUGGUCGCCGGCAACGAGCAGCGGGUGCAAUCGGACGACCUGCCGAAGCUGACCUACCUGAAGAUGGUCGUCAAAGAGACCCUGCGGCUGCACCCACCGAUUACGCUGCUUCUGCCGCGGGAGACGCUUCGGAGGGUGGAGAUCGGCGGCUACAACGUGCCAGCGGGGUCGCGGGUGCUCGUGAACGCGUGGGCCAUCGGGAGGGACCCCGCGAGCUGGGGGCAGGACGCGGAGGAGUUCAAGCCGGAGAGGUUCGAGGCCGGCGGGAGGCACGACAAGGUGGACUUCCGUGGCGCUCACUUGGAACUGAUGCCGUUCGGCGCCGGCCGGCGAAUCUGCCCCGCACUGGUCAUGGGGGUGGCGAACGUGGAGUUCACGUUGGCCAACAUGUUGUAUGGCUUUGAGUGGGAGCUGCCGAAGGGGACGUUGGCCGAGAAGGUGAGCAUGGAGGAGGCCGGUAGGCUGACCUUCCACCGCAAGACGCCGCUGGUGCUCGUGCCUACCCCAUACGUAGUGUGA
rnacentral:rRNA from 1 species